rnacentral:rRNA from 1 species
GACAGAGGGUGCAAACGUUGUUCGGAAUUACUGGGCGUAAAGCGCGUGUAGGCGGCUAAGCAAGUCGGGCGUGAAAUCCCACGGCUCAACCGUGGAAGUGCACCCGAAACUGCAUAGCUAGAGUCCUGGAGAGGAAGGUGGAAUGCUUGGUGUAGAGGUGAAAUUCGUAGAUAUCAAGCGGAACACCGGUGGCGAAGGCGGCCUUCUGGACAGUGACUGACGCUGAGACGGCGAAAGCGUGGGGAGCAAACAGGGAUUAAGAAACCCCAGUACGUCCGAGAACCAACGA